rnacentral:rRNA from 1 species
UUUUGCCUACGGGAGGCAGCAGUGAGGAAUAUUGGUCAAUGGUCGGGAGACUGAACCAGCCAAGCCGCGUGAGGGAUGAAGGUACAGAGUAUCGUAAACCUCUUUUGUCAGGGAACAAAGGCGGGGACGUGUCCCCGGAUGAGUGUACCUGAAGAAAAAGCAUCGGCUAACUCCGUGCCAGCAGCCGCGGUAAUACGGAGGAUGCGAGCGUUAUCCGGAUUUAUUGGGUUUAAAGGGUGCGUGGGCGGUCCGUUAAGUCAGCGGUAAAAUUGCGGGGCUCAACCCCGUCGAGCCGUUGAAACUGG